CCUACGGGAGGCAGCAGUGAGGAAUAUUGGUCAAUGGGCGGGAGCCUGAACCAGCCAAGCCGCGUGAGGGAAGAAGGUACAGCGUAUCGUAAACCUCUUUUGUCGGGGAACAAAGGCGGGGACUAGUCCCCGGCUGAGGGUACCCGAAGAAAAAGCAUCGGCUAACUCCGUGCCAGCAGCCGCGGUAAUACGGAGGAUGCGAGCGUUAUCCGGAUUUAUUGGGUUUAAAGGGUGCGCAGGCGGACCGUUAAGUCAGCGGUAAAAGCGCGGGGCUCAACCCCGGCGAGCCGUUGAAACUGGAGGGCUUGAGUGCGAGAGAAGUAUGCGGAAUGCGCGGUGUAGCGGUGAAAUGCAUAGAUAUCGCGCAGAACCCCGAUUGCGAAGGCAGCGUACCGGCGCGACACUGACGCUGAGGCACGAAAGCGGGGGUAUCGAACAGGAUUAGAUACCCGGGUAGUC
rnacentral:rRNA from 1 species